ACUCCCUCACUCCCCCAUCUGCAAGUCUGGACCUUGUUUCUUUCUUUUUUUUUUUUUUUAUCCCCGCACUCCACCCCCCCCUCCUUGUAAAGAACAUUCUUGAGCUUGAAAGACCUUAUCUUCUAUGGUUAAAAAGAGGUGAUGUCAAAGUGAGAGCUUUCAGCUUGUUUUGGAGACAGUCCUGGUACUGACCACCCUCAAAGCCAGUCUCUCUCAGUCACUUCCUACAUGAUCUCACUAAGCACAGAGACCUUGGCCCACUGACCCGGCUGUCAUACAAACACAGGAAAAAGCCAAACCUUCUCCCAGAGAGCCCAGGUUUGGCAAGGCAAGGCACAGACUUGGAGAUAACAAGAUUGUGAGUUCAUUUUACUGACAAGCAACACAGCAGCACAGCACACAUGGCUCUGGAGCUUAAUGCCUGGCCCAGGCUACCAGAGAGCAUGGCAGUUUGAGAUUAUCCUGACCUCAGGUCAUACCACAAGCAUUAAUAUUAGCUUAGUCACCAAAAUAAGUCAUUCUCCUGCUUGCAAUUGCUUUUCCCAAAAAAGUUAAGCAGAAGGGACAGGCGGACGUGUUAUUUUAAUCUUUCCCACUGCAGUGCGGAAAAGCUCUUGAUGGGAAAAUGACAUUGAGUGAAUGCCCUCAUGAUCUGGGUGAGAAGUGCAAGUGAAAUAAUUCAGUAAAUAUACGAAGAAGUCUCCGUCAUUUCCUUCCCAUCGUGUUGCCAUGGUCACACCCAAAACAAAGCCAGCUCAGCAGCAUAGCCAUCUCUGCUGACAGGCUGCUGCACCUUUUGAUGAAACACGAUUUUGUCAUCACUUUUGCCUUGGUUUAAAGUGAUAUAAGAGGAUAAAGAUAACAGUAAUGAAAUAAGGCCGUAGGUCUUUCAUUUGACAAGACUGGCACAGACAGUGAAGCCAGUCUUGGGAUUCAGGACUUUGGGGAAUGCAUGGGAGGUUGUGGAAUGCCUCUUUUUUUCCUCCAAAGGCACUGAAAAGCAUCUUGAGCUUGCAUUCCAAGUAAGGGAAAAUACUUGCACAGACAGAUGCAGCAUUUCACCACAUGUCAGCCUCCAGAAAGACUACAGAUGUAAACAAAAAGCUUAUUGCAAAUGUGCUGACCUAAGGAUCACCUAGGAGAAGCAUUGCUGCAGCAUACAUACACACUUAAAGCCAGUGAAGGUUCUCCCUUCAGUUUCUACAGGACAAGGUGAAUUUUGUGCUUCGACUGACAGGCAUUAGGUACAGAUGCUGUGGCUGGACCACCUCUGUCUCUUUGCCAUGCAGCACUGCCCAGCUUGCACUUCAGAAGCACGAAUUUACCCUGCAUGUUGGAGUUCAGAGCCUUUCAACACCCAGUGCAGAAUAAACCCACAACUGACUAUCAAAAA